rnacentral:rRNA from 1 species
AUUGAACGCUGGCGGCAGGCCUAACUCAUGCAAGUCGAACGAGUGGCGGACGGGUGAGUAAUGUCUGGCAAUCUGCCCGAUGGAGGGGGCUAACUACUGGAAACGGUAGCUAAUACCGCAUACCAUCGGAUGUGCCCAGAUGGGAUUAGCUAGUAGGUUGGGUAACGGCUCACCUAGGCGACGAUCCCUAGCUGGUCUGAGAGGAUGACGAGGGACACGGGAACUGAGACACGGUGCAGAGGAGGACGGGAGGCAGGAGGGGGGAAGAGUGCAGAAUGGGGGCAAGGCUGAUAGAGGCAUGCCGCGUGUAUGAAGAAGGCAGUGGGGGUGGAAAGUACUUGCAGCGAGGAGGCGGUACUCGGAGAAGAAGCACCGGGUAACUCCGUGCCAGCCGCCGCGGUAAUUC